GCCCUCUCAGGGUCACACCUGGAGAGUUUCCAGUACUCUACCAGUCUCGGCUAUGGGAGGGACAGUCAGGCAGAGGCAUAACCAUUUCAUUCCUAGCUUGGGAAGUAGCAAAUGAGUGGAAGGCCAUCUGCUACAAGU